rnacentral:rRNA from 1 species
CGUCUAUAUACGUAUAGCAUAUCAAUAAGCGGAGGAAAAGAAACUAACAAGGAUUCCCUUAGUAACGGCGAGUGAAGCGGGAAGAGCUCAAAUUUGAAAUCUUCAAGGUUCUACCUUGACGAAUUGUAGUUUAUAGAAGUGUUUUCUGUUAGUGGAGUGGCAAAAGUUCUUUGGAAUAGGACAUCAUAGAGGGUGAGAAUCCCGUAUUUGGUUCAUUCAUUCUAGCGUUGUGAUACACUUUCAAAGAGUCGGAUUGUUUGGGAAUGCAGUCCAAAAUGGGUGGUAAAUUUCAUCUAAAGCUAAAUAUUGGCGAGAGACCGAUAGCGAACAAGUACCGUGAGGGAAAGAUGAAAAGAACUUUGAAAAGAGAGUUAAACAGUACGUGAAAUUGUCAAAAGGGAAGCGUUUGACACCAGUGUUGUUUUUCCGAAAAUCAAUUACGAAUGUUUUGUUUUUGAGGAGUUAUGACUUCAUCGGCUUGCUCCUUUCUUUACGAAACUUUCUUAAUGCACUUUUCGGUUAACAAGUCAACAUCAAUUUCUUUUGUUGUAAAAGGGUAUGAGGAAGGUGGCUUUCUUUUCGGAGAAAGUGUUUAUAGCCUUGUGCCUCUAGCAAUCGGAGAGAUUGAGGUCUGCAGCGUAGAUCCUUCGGGGUUAGAUACGUUUGUGCUAAGUUAUAGCUUUUCAUAGACAACUUGUUGACUAUGUUUAGUCUUGUAGCUUACUCGUUGAUGCUAUUUUACCUACGCUUAGGAUGUUGACUGAUAUGUAGUCGUA